UAGUGGCGAACGGGUGAGUAACACGUGGGCAAUCUGCCCUGCACUCUGGGACAAGCCCUGGAAACGGGGUCUAAUACCGGAUACGAGCCUCCUCCGCAUGGUGGAGGUUGGAAAGCUCCGGCGGUGCAGGAUGAGCCCGCGGCCUAUCAGCUUGUUGGUGAGGUAACGGCUCACCAAGGCGACGACGGGUAGCCGGCCUGAGAGGGCGACCGGCCACACUGGGACUGAGACACGGCCCAGACUCCUACGGGAGGCAGCAGUGGGGAAUAUUGCACAAUGGGCGAAAGCCUGAUGCAGCGACGCCGCGUGAGGGAUGAAGGCCUUCGGGUUGUAAACCUCUUUCAGCAGGGAAGAAGCGAAAGUGACGGUACCUGCAGAAGAAGCGCCGGCUAACUACGUGCCAGCAGCCGCGGUAAUACGUAGGGCGCAAGCGUUGUCCGGAAUUAUUGGGCGUAAAGAGCUCGUAGGCGGCUUGUCGCGUCGGUUGUGAAAGCCCGGGGCUUAACCCNGGUCUGCAGUCGAUACGGGCAGGCUAGAGUUCGGUAGGGGAGAUCGGAUUCCU
rnacentral:rRNA from 1 species